rnacentral:rRNA from 1 species
CAGGACGAACGCUGGCGGCGUGCCUAACACAUGCAAGUCGAACGGGGAUUUGUUUCGGCAGAAUCCUAGUGGCGAACGGGUGAGUAACGCGUAGGCAACCUGCCCUCCGGCCGGGGACAACACUCCGAAAGGGGUGCUAAUACCGGAUACGAAGUCUGUGCCGCAUGGUACGGAUUUGAAAGAUGGCCUCUAUUUAUAAGCUAUCGCCGGGGGAUGGGCCUGCGUCCGAUUAGCUGGUUGGUGGGGUAACGGCCUACCAAGGCGACGAUCGGUAGCCGGUCUGAGAGGAUGAACGGCCACAUUGGGACUGAGACACGGCCCAGACUCCUACGGGAGGCAGCAGUGGGGAAUCUUCCGCAAUGGGCGCAAGCCUGACGGAGCAACGCCGCCGUGAGUGAGGAAGUUCUUCGGAACGUAAAGCUCUGUUGUUCCUGACGAACCUCCCUUCUAUGAACAACGGAGGGGACUGACGGUAGGGAACGAGGAAGCCACGGCUAACUACGUGCCAGCCGCCGC